UGAUGAGGUUUUUUCUGGCAUGAUUUUGAAAUUUAGGGAUAUUUUGGUAAGUGUACUUGCAGGGACUAAUUUAUGCAUUAAGUCUAGGGAUCUUAACAGUUACUCGUGUUGUGCACAUUUGCAAGUAAGCAUCCCGAAACUGCAAUCUUAAAAUAUAGCUGAAUUUUACUUAAGUAUGACAGAUAUUAAAAACAGAUUUUUAGAACUGUUAUGCAUGUGAACAUAGUUUUAGAAACAAUUUGCAGAAGGGUGCCUGCACAGUGUUUUGGGGUGAAGUACUCACUGAAUUGCAUAUGUAGGGAGUGUUUGUGUAGUUAGAAGUAUAGGAUGGAGCCAACACCUGAGCACUACCAAAAGGACAGCCUGAUUAUAUUUACUGUUCAAGAUUUGAUGUGAACAAAGGAUUUGUUGUUGUUGCUGUUCAAAAAAAAAAAAAAAAUUGCUAAAAUAAUUCUUUAUUUACAGAAGCUGCAGAAGCCAAACUUGACACUGUUAAUGAACGUUUCCCAACAGUUCAAGAAAAACAAUGAUGGUGAUGGUUCUAGAAUUGAAAGUCCCAAGUCACCAAAGAAAAGCCUCAAACAAAGAACCCCGUCAGAUGCAAACCUGAACAGAGGAGAAUGUGGAGAACUGUUGAGUCAAGAUGUCUCAGAUGCAAGCAACCUGGAGGAAGAAGAAUCAGAGGAGGAGGAGGAAGAUGAUGAAAAUGAAGGAGAUGAUGAUGAAGAUUAUGAGGAGGCAGAGGAAGAAGAGGAGGAGGACGAGGAUCUUACACAAGAUGAAAAGGAGGAGGAGGAUCUGGAAGAUGAAGAAACUCAGUCUAAUGACAUAUUGGAGGAGGAACAGGGGGAGAAAACAGAACCUAAAGGGGAAAUCAAUCAGAAAUUGGAGUAUUUUAGUAACACUAAGUAUGAAGGAGAAGCUUGGUGUGGAACUGGAGAUGUCUGUGAUGAUGAUGAUAAAAUAAGUAAAGAACUUGAUGAAAAGGUGGAGGAAUCUGUUGAUACUCCUGUGUCUUUUAUAGCUGGGUGUUAUGAAAGGUCGCAAGAAGAUGCAAUUGCCAUGUCUCCAAAGAUAAUGAAUAAUGAAGUAUCUUGCAAGUCAGUACCAAAACAAGCUGUCUUUCAAAAUCUAAAUAAUUUGCAAGAUACGCAAGAAAGCUGGAACAGGAAAAGCAUGAUACAGGAGAAGUUUCACAGAAAUGCUGACUCCUGUUUUGCAGACUCUGAAACGACAGACUGGAAAAAAGAGAUACCUCAGCCUCUCGCAGAUAGUUGUGGUCUUAAGGAGAAAAAGUCAAGCUUCAGUGAUGGCUUUGAAAGUGGUGAUAAUUCUUGGUCAGCAGCAAAAAACCCGAGGCUUGAAAGUCAAAGACCGAACCCUGUCAUUCUUGAACAUGUGGAUGAUGAAGAUACUGAAGAAGAGCAAUCUGAAGAGGUAGAUGAUAAAGUCUGUGAAGCACUGAAACAAGAAAGUGAAAACUUGUGCUUAAAUAGGCAUGAAGAAAAUUUAAAAGCAGCAUUUCACUCAAGCACCAAAGCAGAAUCACCUGAAUGGGAAGAAGAGGAGGAGGAGGAGCAGGAGAAGGAAGAUACUGGUGAAGAGCUCCAAACUGCAGUUGUUGAGGGCAUGAAAAAUUCUAUUUGUAAUGAUGGCCAUCAAGUCCACAGUGCUUCAAAAGACAACACUGGUGCCCUGCCAGCAGUGGGAGCAGAGGAAGAGGAAGAUGAUGAAUCUCCCUGGGACUCUGAGAUUAUACAGACGGAUUCUGGAAGUCCGAGAAAAGUAUCGUCUGGCGUGUUGCUCCAAGCUGCAGACAGACACGGAGCAUGCUUACAGAUUGUUUCAGGGGAACAUGA
ensembl:lncRNA